rnacentral:rRNA from 1 species
CCUACGGGAGGCAGCAGUGGGGAAUAUUGGGCAAUGGGCGCAAGCCUGACCCAGCAACGCCGCGUGAAGGAAGAAGGCUUUCGGGUUGUAAACUUCUUUUCUCAGGGACGAAGCAAGUGACGGUACCUGAGGAAUAAGCCACGGCUAACUACGUGCCAGCAGGCGCGGCAAUACGUAGGGGGCAGGCGUUAUCCGGAUUUACUGGGUGUAAAGGGCUCGUAGGCGGUAUGUCAAGUCAAGGGUGAAAUCCCCGCGGUCAACGUGGGGACUGCCGUUGAAACUGGCAGCCUGGAGAGGUUGAGAGGUAAGUGGAAUUCGAGGUGUAGGGGUGAAAUGCGUAGAUAUCUCGAAGAACAUCGAUGGCGAAGGCAGCUAUCUGGC